GUACUGCUGAAGAGUCCCGAACUAGGACGAAACAGCGUCCAGUAC
rfam:Trichobilharzia regenti genome assembly, scaffold: TRE_scaffold0010933